CCUACGCGUGGCUGCAGUGAGGAAUAUUGGUCAAUGGGCGGAAGCCUGAACCAGUCAAGUCGCGUGCGGGAGGAAGGUCCUGCGUGUUGUAAACUGCUUUUGUAAGGGAAUAACGGGCGUUACGUGUCGGGCUUUGCAUGUACCGUAUGAAUAAGGAUCGGCUAAUUCCGUGCCAGCAGCCGCGGUAAUACGGAAGGUGCGAGCGUUGUCCGGAGUUAUUGGGUGUAAAGGGAGCGUAGGCCGCAUGUAAAGCUUGGUGUUAAAGGCGCGGGCUCAACCCGGGUCUUGCAGCUGGUACAUGCGAGCUUGAGUGCGCGGAAGGCAGGCGGAAUUCGUGGUGUAGCGGUGAAAUGCUUAGAUAUGACGAAGAACCUCGAGGGCGAAGGCAGCUUGCUGCAGCGGAACUGACGCUGAUGAUCGAAAGCGAGGGUAGCGAACAGGAUUAGAUACCCGAGUAGUC
rnacentral:rRNA from 1 species